ACGAGCUGCUCCUUGUUCCUUUUUUUUCAGCGCAGCUUCAGACAUCAGUCGAGCCAGAGUCUAGGUCUACUCUACGGUAAAUGUAACUGGGUCCAUGCUCAUGGUUCCUCUUGUUUCAGCGCAGCUUCAGACAUCAGUCGAGCCAGAGUCUAGGUCUACUCUACGGUAAAUGUAACUGGGUCCAUGCUCAUGGUUCCUCUUGUUUCAGCGCAGCUUCAGACAUCAGUCGAGCCAGAGUCUAGGUCUACUCUACGGUAAAUGUAACUCGGUCCAUGCUCAUGGUUCCUCUUGUUUCAGCGCAGCUUCAGACAUCAGUCGAGCCAGAGUCUAGGUCUACUCUACGGUAAAUGUAACUGGGUCCAUGCUCAUGGUUCCUCUUGUUUCAGCGCAGCUUCAGACAUCAGUCGAGCCAGAGUCUAGGUCUACUCUACGGUAAAUGUAACUCGGUCCAUGCUCAUGGUUCCUCAGUUCUCUCGAAUAAUAAGCAAUAGCAUUUCAUACCACCCUACGGUUUCGAACCCAGUCUUCUUAGCUAUCAUGAUAUGCUACAUUAUGCCUGGGCAGCUCUUAGUCUGUCUAAUGACGAUGGUUAUAACAAGCUCGUUUUUACUAUGUGAUAACAGACCCAAAUGAUGUGGCACAAUUGGUGUUUAUCAAACAGCUAUGAGAAAAAAACAUCAAUAGAAAAAAAAGAAAAAAAAAAGAUAUACAUGUCGAUAGCUGUGAGUGAAAUGUAACGGUAAGGACGAUGUCAUCUGUUUGCUUCAGGUUCACCCGUACCCACUAUCGCGUGUAGCAUCGCCUUGACAGGUAUUUCAUUAUCCAAUACUGGUUCAUUCUAGAGUUGUGUUUGUACUGCUGUCUUUCGUUAUUCUAUGCCGGAAUCAUUCCAGAGGGUGCGUGGAUCGGGAUGCUUAGACAGACACUGCACUGGCCUGUAGAGUGAAUAUAGUAGACGCUUGGCUUGGGUUUAUAUUAGUUUAUCAGUGGGACUUGGUUGGGUCUGGUCCAGGCCAGCGUUUCUGCUGUGGUUGAGAAUUGAAUAGAUAUAUAAUAACGAUUUGUUCUGACAACAACAUGCAAACAUGGCAACGACUGCUACAUCAUGAUUCAUACACAAACAUCCCUUCAGCGGCAUUGCUGAGCCUCUCCGUAGCCUAGUGAACCCCUUAUUAUGCGGUCUGCAGAUGACCAAUUUAGUAGUCUUCAUAAUUAUGAACCACUCACCCCAGCUGUCUCUGUCUUCACGGUUUCUCGCCAUGGUGUUCCUUGCUGUUGACUGUAUGUGCAAUCCUAAACGGCUGUCAUGUAGACACCGGAGCAAUGGAUGAGCCUAUUCAAUCCGACACGGAGGAGAAGGCUCAUAAAAGGGAGGAUGCUGAAGCUGACGGGAGUUGGGUGUGCAGUAUCUGUAUCCGCCGCCAGUAGGUGCUGUUUCAAUGGUUGUCGUUUGUGUGUGUGUGUGUGUGUGUGUGGGGGGGGCGCGUUAUAAAGAUACUGCUAACUAAAAAAAAACAAUUUUUUAAAACAAUAUAUAUACACUACCGGUCAAAAGUAUUAGAACACCUACUCAUUCAAGGGUUUUUCUUUAUUUGUACUAUUUUCUAUAUUGUAGAAUAACAGUGAAGACAUCAACUAUGAAAUAACACAUAUGGAAUCAUGUAGUAACCAAAAAAGUGUUAAACAUAUAAAAAAAUAUAUUUUAUAUUUGAGAUUCUUGAUAUAGUCACCCUUUGCCUUGAUGACAGCUUUGCACACUCUUGGCAUUCUCUCAACCAGCUUCAUGAGGUAGUCACAUGGAAUGCAUUUCAAUUAACAGGGUGUGCCUUGUUAAACAUUUAUUUUUGGAAUUUCCUUCCUUUUUAAUGCGUUUGAGCCAAUCGGUUGUGUUGUGACAAGGUAGGUGGUAUACAGAAGAUAGUCCUAUUUGGUAACAGACCAAGUCAAUAUUAUGGCAAGAACAGCUCAUAUAAACAAAGAGAAAUGACAGUCCAUCAUUACCUGAAGACAUGAAGGUCAGUCAAUACGGAACAUUUCAGAAACUAACCGCUAGGCUACCCUGCCGCCUCUACACUAUAACCACUAGGCUACCCUGCCGCCUCUACACUAUAACCACUAGGCUACCCUGCCACCUCUACACUCUAACCACUAGGCUACCCUGCCACCUCUACACUCUAACCACUAGGCUACCCUGCCACCUCUACACUCUAACCACUAGACUAGCCUGCCACCUCUACACUCUAACCACUAGGCUACCCUGCCACCUCUACACUCUAACCACUAGGCUACCCUGCCACCUCUACACUCUAACCACUAGGCUACCCUGCCUCCUCUACACUCUAACCACUAGGCUAGCCUGCCACCUCUACACUCUAACCACUAGGCUACCCUGCCACCUCUACACUCUAACCACUAGGCUACCCUGCCACCUCUACACUCUAACCACUAGGCUACCCUGCCACCUCUACACUAAACACUAGGCUACCCUGCCACCUCUACACUCUAACCACUAGGCUACCUGCCGCCUCUACACUCUAACCACUAGGCUACCCUGCCACCUCUACACUCUAACCACUAGGCUACCCUGCCACCUCUACACUCUAACCACUAGGCUAGCCUGCCACCUCUACUCUCUAACCACUAGGCUACCCUGCCUCCUCUACACUCUAACCACUAGGCUACCCUGCCACCUCUACACUCUAACCACUAGGCUACCCUGCCACCUCUACACUCUAACCACUAGGCUAGCCUGCCACCUCUACACUCUAACCACUAGGCUACCCUGCCACCUCUACACUCUAACCACUAGGCUACCCUGCCUCCUCUACACUCUAACCACUAGGCUACCCUGCCACCUCUACACUCUAACCACUAGGCUACCCUGCCUCCUCUACACUCUAACCACUAGGCUACCCUGCCACCUCUACACUCUAACCACUAGGCUACCCUGCCACCUCUACACUCUAACCACUAGGCUACCCUACCACCCUGCCGACCUUAGAGGAUGCACACAUGUAGAUUGUUUUAAGAGCUUUCUUAUUAGACGAAUGUUGAAUGGUCUUAAUGUACUGCUAGAAUUCCUUACAGAAAACACGGAAGAGUGGUUUUACAUGAUUGAAUUUACAUAUAUGAAUAUUACAUUUUUUCAUUAGCAUAAUUAGAUUUAUGAGGUAAAAUUGUUUUUCUAUAUCCUUUUUAUAUUUAAGGAAACCGAGCAGCACAUUUUGCCAUAAAAACAAAAGUCAUCAAGAAUAUUAACAAUUAUAAAUCUAUGAAUAUCUUUCCAUAGUUUCUUUAAAUGUAGACAAUGCCAAAAUAAAUGCUAAACUGUUUCUGGAUACUCAACACAAAGGACAGUUAAUGUUAAUGGUUUUUUUUUUUUAGUUUCUUCAGGUAAUGAUUCACAGGGUCAUACUUAUGGUUCGUUCUGAAAGAGACCUCUUUCACCUUGUUAACAAGCAGGUGUUUGUGUGGUAAUAAACAUACUUUUUCCCCAACAGAUAUUAUUGACAAAUGUAUUCCAGUAAGUUGUGACAUAGAGGUCUGGUUACACCUCUAAAUAACAUGAGAGUUCCAGAUGGAAUAGCAUCAGAGACUAUGGAGAACUCUCUAGGAGGGCAGGUCAACAAGGUGAGGUCUGGCUGCACCUCUAAAUAACAUGAGAGUUCCAGAUGGAAUAGCAUCAGAGACUAUGGAGAACUCUCUAGGAGGGCAGGUCAACAAGGUGAGGUCUGGCUGCACCUCUAAAUAACAUGAGAGUUCCAGAUGGAAUAGCAUCAGAGACUAUGGAGAACUCUCUAGGAGGGCAGGUCAACAAGGUGAGGUCUGGCUACACCUCUAAAUAACAUGAGAGUUCCAGAUGGAAUAGCAUCAGAGACUAUGGAGAACUCUCUAGGAGGGCAGGUCAACAAGGUGAGGUCUGGUUACACCUCUAAAUAACAUGAGAGUUCCAGAUGGAAUAGCAUCAGAGACUAUGGAGAACUCUCUAGGAGGGCAGGUCAACAAGGUGAGGUCUGGUUACACCUCUAAAUAACAUGAGAGUUCCAGAUGGAAUAGCAUCAGAGACUAUGGAGAACUCUCUAGGAGGGCAGGUCAACAAGGUGAG